GCUCUCAUAGUUCAACGGAUAGAAUACGGCCCUCCGAAGGCCGAGACAGAGGUUCAAUUCCUCUUGAGAGCA
rnacentral:tRNA from 1 species